rnacentral:misc_RNA from 1 species
UACGCAGGUGGCAAGCGUUAUCCGGAAUUACUGGGCGUAAAGCGCGCGUAGGUGGCUUGAUAAGCCGGUUGUGAAAGCCCCGGGCUCAACCUGGGAACGGCAUUCGGAACUGUCAAGCUAGAGCGCAGGAGAGGAAGGUAGAAUUCCCGGUGUAGCGGUGAAAUGCGUAGAGAUCGGGAGGAAUACCAGUGGCGAAGGCGGCCUUCUGGACUGACACUGACACUGAGGUGCGAAAGCGUGGGUAACAAACAGG